ACGUUUGGCGGCCACGUAAGUUGUUCGAAAGGUUGAGCGCGCAUCGAAUUGCGAGCGCGAGAAGAACGUCGUCGGUCUUCGUCUAUCGUGGCGGUGUUUGUAAACAAGCGGCGCCCUAGUAACAAAAACGAUAGAACAGGGGCACGUAUUUGGAGUACACCCCUGAGGGGUCCGCGCACGCGUAGUAUCAUUCGAAUCGAACAAGUAGCGUGGUGGGGGAUCCCCUACUCGCAAAUGUUGAUCGUCGAAGCGUUCGGCGAAUUUCACUAAAAACUCUCGCGUCGAAUUUACGUCGGAAUUGUGCGCGUCUCUCGGUCGAUCAACGAAGAUCGCUAAAUCCAACCGGAUUUUGACCGUCUUUCGUUUAAUUUGAGUCGCGUUGUCGCGGCAGUUUAGUGUCAUUCUAUGUAACAGAGGGAAACGGAUACCCCGCGAUAAUGGCAUUGUUGUGAUAGCGCCACUCUGUAGAUAGCUAGAUAUAUACAUAGCAUAAACAACAGUUAGUUACGGGUCUCGGAUAAUUUAAAAGGAA